rnacentral:rRNA from 1 species
GGGUUGUGAGGUUAAGCGACUAAGCGUACACGGUGGAUGCCCUGGCAGUCAGAGGCGAUGAAGGACGUGCUAAUCUGCGAAAAGCGUCGGUAAGGUGAUAUGAACCGUUAUARCCGGCGAUGUCCGAAUGGGGA